rnacentral:rRNA from 1 species
GACUACUGGGGUAUCUAAUCCUGUUUGAUCCCCACGCUUUCGUGCCUCAGCGUCAAUGAUGGAUUAGUAAGCUGCCUUCGCAAUCGGUGUUCUGUGUAAUAUCUAAGCAUUUCACCGCUACACUACACAUUCCGCCUACCUCAUCCAUAUUCAAGUCUAACAGUAUCAAUGGCAAUCCUAACGUUAAGCGCCAGACUUUCACCACUGACUUAUUAAACCACCUGCGCACCCUUUAAACCCAAUAAAUCCGGAUAACGCUUGCAUCCUCCGUAUUACCGCGGCUGCUGGCACGGAGUUAGCCGAUGCUUAUUCCUGUCCUACCGGCAUCACUCGUCUCGACGAGCUUAUUCUUCAAACAGAAAAGAAGUUUACAACCCGUAGGGCCUUCUUCCUUCACGCGGGAUGGCUGGUUCAGGCUUGCGCCCAUUGACCAAUAUUCCUCACUGCAGCCUCCCGUAGG